GGAUCAGAUUAAAUUAAAAUUUCACAUAAAUAAUCUCACAAAAGAUUUGGAUUUCUUUUAUCACUAAGCCUAAAAUGAAAGCAAAAAAUUUUGAAUUUGUAGUUCUCAUCACUUGAGACCAAAACUUUGGCAAAUAAAAAAUAAAUAAACAUGUCUAUACUGAGGCUAAUGAAACUACCAAAUACCAAUGACAAGGUAAAUUAAAUAACUUCUUCGUUAUUUAAAAGAACAAGAAAGUGGAGAUCACAAAAGAUUAGCAUUGUUUUUCUCACUAAUUUUCCCGAGCUUUCUCAGGAACCAAGCAAAAAAUUUUUACAAAAGAAAAUGAAAAGGCGAUAACUCCUGCGACAACUGCUAAGUUCGAAAACCAACAGCUACUAAAAAUAAAUCAGAAAAUUUUUCAAAAGAAAAAAGA
rnacentral:misc_RNA from 1 species